rnacentral:rRNA from 1 species
GACGAACGCUGGCGGCGUGCUUAACACAUGCAAGUCGAGCGGUAAGGCCCUUUCGGGGUACACGAGCGGCGAACGGUGAGUAACACGUGGUGACCUGCCCUUAGCUCUGGGAUAAGCCUGGGGAAACUGGGUCUAAUACCGGAUAUGACUCCAUGACGCAUGUUGUGGGGUGGAAAGCCUUGUGCGGCUUAGGGAUGGGCCU